UUUCUGUGGAGUCAGUCUUCAGGAGUUGUUGAACAGAUACUACAAUAUCAUGACAGGCCAGGCCCCGGAGGAUUCAAUUCGACUCCCAAUACUGCAUCGCUGCCUGAGCCAUGUAAUGAAAAUGCCAAGGACCUUUGCAAAAAACAUGCCCCAAAACAUUACCACCUAGCAAUGCAUACCUUCGGUGUUAUGGCUCAGGCCACAACAAUUGAAGAGCUUGAAGAAAUCAUUGUCAGUGCUGCUGUUGUGUUCUCAAGUUCCCACAGUGGCCAAAAAGUUGACAAACAUUUCAAAAACCUUCAGUUGAUAAUGACACAAGGAGGAAGAACUGACAUUGAGGACUCAUCCAUUGUGGAGCUGGAUUUUAUGAAUGAUGUGGGAGUAACAUCAUUCCAACAUCAUUUUGAACGAGUGAUUAAGCAGGAGGAAGGAGACAAGGACGUUGAGCCCAAUAUGUAUCUUAGUCCAACAUUCAUUCCUGCAUUAACAAAGUUCUUCAUACCUCAGGCUGCCUUGUAGACUGGACUACUCUUGGAAUUACUCUCAAGACAACCACACACAGGGCAUCAUGGAGAAAAGUCAGUGAGACCUUAAGAGGAUACGUUUUCAAAGAAGACGGCUUACCCAAUUGGAUGACUUGUGGUGACUUACAAGAUGACCCUGAAUGGUCUUUUGAGAGUUCAGAGAUUCAUUGAAGGGCAAGCAAAG